rnacentral:rRNA from 1 species
AUGGCCGAGGAGGUGAUCAAAGAGGCUAUCACUUCAACAACUCCUGCAUUAGCUGAGUCGAAGAGAGAAGAUCUCCGGAUAAAUACCACUGAAAUCAUAGAUGGCAACAGUGUGCCGCCCUACCUGAGGAGGAAAGAGAAGCCAGUUCCACAUUACCAGAGAGCAUCCACUGGCUCAUGCCAUGACAAAUGCAAACUUGGUAUUCAUCAUUCUUCCGAGUCUAAGAAAUACUCGCCUGUUCGUGCCUGGCGUCAGGACCGCGCGAACGCCAGGAAUGGAACACACGACCUGGCUCAGGCUGUAGCCAUCCCACAAGGAGACAAAGCAAGAAACAAGAGUCAGACGCUGAAGAUUUCUCGUGUAAAAGAUGGCGCUGCUCCUGGUAAGCCUGAAUUUACCAAGCAGAAGCCACCACUGAAAGGAGUACCUGGUCGUCUUGAAAGCUCUCCAUGUGUAGAGUUAAUAUCAGAUGAAGUACCUGGAACUGUUGUGGCUGGAAACCAGCCAGAUUGUGCGAAGUGCCUCAUCAUCUCACUUGAUGACUUGUCGAGCUGUGGAGAUGGACAAUUGUCAGAGGGAGCUGUAAGCAUUGAGCUGGAUAUGCCGUUGGCCAUCCAGGACAGGGAUGAGUCCGACGAUCAUAGUACGGAUCAUUCUGCAAAUGACUCUGUAAGUUCAGAGAACAUGAGUAAGCAGACUGUGAUGGCAUCAGAGAACCACAAACAAGAUAGGGACGUGACUAAACCACAGAGCUUCUCCCAGGAGUCUGUGAAACCAAACAGGAAAGCAAGGUCGACUAUAACCAGAAACACCAUGUCAAAGCACAAGAGCGAAAUAACAUCACAUGAGAAGGCUGCAGGUACAUCAGCUGGAAGCGGCGAUGGACCAAGGACAACGGCGAAAAAGGCAGAUCCUAGCGUUCCUAACAAGUUCAACAAGGAGAGGAAACUCAACUCCACUGUCACAUCAACUCUUCCAAGGGUGAAGAAAAUCAAAGCACCAUCACCAGCUAGCACGAUGGAUUCAUCUGCCAAACCUGCUACAAAUAAGCAUGCUCCAUCUCCAUCACCUCCUUCAGGGAAGCAAACUGAAAGAAAGAUUACACUGAAUAAUGUUGCCAAGAAUGCUCAACUUUGGCAAAACAAGGGAGAAGAAAAGGUUACAUUGAGUCCACUGAAGCUGUCUCGUUCUACAGUGAGAGCAGUCAGGAAAGAAACUUCUGAUUCCCCAGUGAAGAGUAAGAAGUUUUAUGGGAUAGAAAGUUUUUCUGGGUGCAAGGAUAAAAUAUCGAAGACAGCUUCGCCAAAAAUACGAAAACCAGACGUUAACAACAAAGAGAGACAAUCUCGCAAAGAAAAUGGGGCUAUUGCAAGAACUGAAAUUGCAGGAAGGCCAAAGAUAACAUCCACGCCCUCAUGCAUCAUCAUGAAGUCGCCUCGCAUGCUGAGGUUUCGCCGUGGCAAGGUGCUGAAGCUUGGCAGCAACUCUGACAACAGCACUCCCAGACGAGUACAGUUCAGGCCUGCAUAUGCUACAGAUGACGGCAACAGAAGCAAAUAUCCUGCCAGACGCAGAAUCACCAAGAACAAUGAAGCUAAAACUUCUGCUGCAUCAAAAGAUUCAGGUGCUUCAAGAGCUGAGGUUGUCGUCCUGAGGCAUCAGGGUGCCAAUGACAAAAAGAAGAGCGAGCCGCGAUUAUUCAACAAUGUGAUCAAGGAGACCGCGAGCAGGCUCGUCGAGGCGAGGACGAGCAAAGUGAAGGCCCUCGUUGGUGCUUUCGAGACAGUGAUCUCGCUUCAAGGUAUAAAGCAAGGCAGACCCAGCAUUUCCUGA